rnacentral:lncRNA from 1 species
AGUGUUGGGCCUGCUCCAUUCUUAAUCGGGGAUUCAGGGUUCAGCCCUUGGUAUAGAGAAAGAUCUGGAUGAAACUUAAAAGAAAGAAAAAAAGAAAAUAAUUUCAAUUAACAUGACAGGUGAAACUAAGAAUACAAUAACUAAAAGAUACCAAAGGAGAAUGAAUCCACGAAUAACAUGUUUUGUAGCAAAGCUCUUAAAGCAUUACUAUGAUGAUUAAACACCUUAACUACACCUAAAAGCUUACCACUUUCUACAGAAAUAUGAUUCUUAC